rnacentral:rRNA from 1 species
UACGAAGGGAGCUAGCGUUGUUCGGAAUCACUGGGCGUAAAGCGCACGUAGGCGGAUUUGCCAGUCAGGGGUGAAAUCCCGGGGCUCAACCUCGGAACUGCCUUUGAUACAGCAAGUCUUGAGUUCGAGAGAGGUGGGUGGAAUUCCUAGUGUAGAGGUGAAAUUCGUAGAUAUCUGGAGGAACACCAGUGGCGAAAGCGCGUGACUGGGCCACAACUGACGCUGAGGAACGAAAGCCAGGGGAGCGAAAGGG